GAUGAAGAACGUAGCGAAAUGCGAUAAGUAAUGUGAAUUGCAGAAUUCAGUGAAUCAUCGAGUCUUUGAACGCACAUUGCGCCCCCUGGUAUUCCGGGGGGCAUGCCUGUCCGAGCGUCAUUGCUGCCCUCAAGCACGGCUUGUGUGUUGGGCCUCCGUCCUCCUCCCGGGGGACGGGCCCGAAAGGCAGCGGCGGCACCGCGUCCGGUCCUCGAGCGUAUGGGGCUUCGUCACCCGCUCUUGUAGGCCCGGCCGGCGCUUGCCGACACAUCAAUCUUUUUUCCAGGUUGACCUCGGAUCAGGUAGGGAUACCCGCUGAACUUAAGCAUAUCAAUAAGCGGAGA
rnacentral:misc_RNA from 1 species